ACGAUGAUUGGAACUGAUGGUGGUAACGGUCGCCUGAAAAAUCGGAUAUGAUGAUAUGGUGAUUUCACACCGCCGUAUCACCGCCACCUCUUUGAUGUGAACUAUCGGAAUCAUGGAUUCUAUUGUUUUUAUAAACUAAUUCAGUUUUCGAUCUUUGGUUUUUAAUGGUGCGAUGGGAUUGAAGAAAGAAAUAGAUGAUGCCCAAGAAAUUGAAACAGGUGAAUCAAGCGUAUGAUGUCGAUGAACAGUUUGUGCUAACUGUUUAUACAAUUAAAGGAGGAGGAGGAGAAGAACUGAAUCAGGGAAAUCUAGCAAGUUAUGAACCGCAAGAUGCUCAUGAGUAUUUCAUUUCCAUGCUUGAUGGAAUCCAAGGUGGACAAAGAUGAGCGUGAACCACUGAACCUCAUUGUCAAGGUGAACGCCGCUUUGAUAUAUUAGUAAUCUUUUUCCUUUUGAAUCUGCAACUAUUUAUGUGGGUCAUAUAAAUUUUUUUGUUAAAGUGACAUUUUACAGGGACAAUUGUUUUUUCUUCAUCAUGUUAAUAUAUAUCAUACAAGUAAAAAUGGCGUCACAAGCAUGAGUUUUCAAGGGUCAUGUAGUGAAUCAGAUGGUAGAGAUUUUACAUUGGAGUAACAAAUAUAUUGAGUAGCAUUAAGGUAAAAGAUGACUAUUUUGAAUGUUUGUCUUCUCAGUCUACCUAUUUGUGUGAGUAAUGUUUCGAUGUUAUAUUUUGGAUUGAUGUAAAAUUUCCAUGAAAAAUCACUUUGGAUAAAACUUCUUUUUGUUUGUUCUAGAUAUUCCAUGAUUUUGGCACACAUCCAUCCGAUUCUUUUUAUUGUCAGUGGAUACUAAAACUGGUUUUACCCGAUCCUAAUUUUCAUCCAGGUACAUAAAGGUUGGUGAAAUCAUGGUAGAUUUGAGAAGAAAGGCUUCUCUUUGGUUAUGUGUAAGUUCGGCUCUUUACUCUUAUGCAAGUUUUUGGUAGAAACACGGAAUUCCUUUAUCUCAUGGGUCAGUUGUAUGAGUUGUGGAAUGGCAUUUUCUUAUCAAUCUAAAACAUUGAUUUAUGAUUUAUUACAUGGUGAGAGGAUAUUCUACUUAUGUUAAACAGAACAACUAUUUUGAGUUAUUUUCUAUAGUCACAUGCUUAUGGUGCUUCAUGGACCUAUAAAUGGAAAUACAUAUGACUACAAGAAGCAAAAAUGUGUUUUUUUGCAAGUUAGAGCUGGCAUCUAGGUAGUAUGUCUAUCUUGAAGUUGGAA